GUUUGAUCCUGGCUCAGAACGAACGCUGGCGGCAGGCCUAACACAUGCAAGUCGAACGAGGUGCCGGAGCUUGCUCCGGUUACCUAGUGGCGCACGGGUGAGUAACGCGUGGGAACCUGCCCUUGGGUGGGGAACAACCGCUGGAAACGGCGGCUAAUACCGCAUACGUCCCUCGGGAGAAAGGCUUCGGCCGCCCAAGGAUGGUCCCGCGUCUGAUUAGCUUGUUGGUGAGGUAACGGCUCACCAAGGCGACGAUCAGUAGCUGGUCUGAGAGGAUGAUCAGCCACACUGGG
rnacentral:rRNA from 12 species